rnacentral:misc_RNA from 1 species
AGCCGCUGUAUUGCCGAAUCAGUCAAAAACAGUUCCGCUUCCACUACACGUGACUAUUACAAUUCGUGAAUCCGUGAAUGGUGUUAAAAUAAUCAAAACAACGAAUAACAUUUAAAAAAUAAGCUCAAAGGAAUUGCUUUUGUAUCGGUCAUUGAAUUGGAUUGUUAAAAAAAAAUGCUUAAAUUUUGCCCAUGGUGUAGCAAUCUUUUACAAUUAGAUGAAGAUCAUGCGGGAGUUCGUUUUAAAUGUAGAACUUGUCCUUACAUUUGUAAAGUUACUGGAUCCAUACGCAGUAACACAUAUCCUAAGCUAAAGGAAGUUGAUGAUGUACUAGGAGGAUCGGCCGCUUGGGAAAACGUUGAUGCAACAGAUGAGCGUUGUCCAAAAUGCGCUCAUCCUAGAGCUUAUUUCAUGCAAAUUCAAACUCGGUCUGCCGAUGAGCCUAUGACAACAUUUUACAGAUGCUGCAAUCCACAGUGCUGUCAUAACUGGCGAGACUAAAUCUACUUCUAAUUAAUUUGUACGUUCCAGUUGUGAUUGUAGUUUAUAUUUUUAUUGAAAAAUAGUUUCUGUUUUGUUUUUCAUCAUGGAUCAGAUUCACAUGGGGCCUGUUAAAUUUCAUUUAAACAAUGCUAAAGAAAUGAUUAAGCAUUUACCACGUG